GACGAACGCUGGCGGCGUGCUUAACACAUGCAAGUCGAACGGAAAGGCCCUGCUUUUGUGGGGUGCUCGAGUGGCGAACGGGUGAGUAACACGUGAGUAACCUGCCCUUGACUUUGGGAUAACUUCAGGAAACUGGGGCUAAUACCGGAUAGGAUCUCCUGCUGCAUGGUGGGGGUUGGAAAGUUUCGGCGGUUGGGGAUGGACUCGCGGCUUAUCAGCUUGUUGGUGGGGGAGUGGCUUACCAAGGCUUUGACGGGUAGCCGGCCUGAGAGGGUGACCGGCCACAUUGGGACUGAGAUACGGCCCAGACUCCUACGUGAGGCAGCAGUGGGGAAUAUUGCACAAUGGGCGGAAGCCUGAUGCAGCAACGCCGCGUGCGGGAUGACGGCCUUCGGGUUGUAAACCGCUUUCGCCUGUGACGAAGCGUGAGUGACGGUAAUGGGUAAAGAAGCACCGGCUAACUACGUG
rnacentral:rRNA from 1 species